CCUACGGGAGGCAGCAGUGAGGAAUAUUGGUCAAUGGACGAGAGUCUGAACCAGCGAAGUAGCGUGAAGGAUGACUGCCCUAUGGGUUGUAAACUUCUUUUAUAUGGGAAGAAAACAGGGUAUGCAUACCCUCUUGUAUGUACCAUAUGAAUAAGGAUCGGCUAACUCCGUGCCAGCAGCCGCGGUAAUACGGAGGAUCCGAGCGUUAUCCGGAUUUAUUGGGUUUAAAGGGAGCGUAGGUGGAUUGUUAAGUCAGUUGUGAAAGUUUGCGGCUCAACCGUAAAAUUGCAGUUGAAACUGGCAGUCUUGAGUACAGUAGAGGUAGGCGGAAUUCGUGGUGUAGCGGUGAAAUGCUUAGAUAUCACGAAGAACUCCGAUAGCGAAGGCAGCUCACUGGACUGCAACUGACGCUGAGGCUCGAAAGUGUGGGUAGCAAACAGGAUUAGAUACCCCUGUAGUC
rnacentral:rRNA from 1 species